GUAAGCGUGCGCAGGCGGUUUCGUAAGACAGACGUGAAAUCCACGGCUCAACCUGGGAACUGCGUUUGUGACUGCGAGGCUAGAGUGCGGCAGAGGGGGGUAGAAUUCCACGUGUAGCAGUGAAAUGCGUAGAGAUGUGGAGGAAUACCGAUGGCGAAGGCAGCCCCCUGGGUUAGUACUGACGCUCAUGCACGAAAGCGUGAGGAGCAAACAGGAUUAGAUACCCUGGUAGUCCACGCCCUAAACGAUGUCAACUAGGUGUUGGAAGGGUUAAACCUUUUAGUACCGCAGCUAACGCGUGAAGUUGACCGCCUGGGGAGUACGGCCGCAAGGUUAAAACUCAAAGGAAUUGACGGGGACCCGCACAAGCGGUGGAUGAUGUGGAUUAAUUCGAUGCAACGCGAAAAACCUUACCUACCCUUGACAUGCCAGGAACUUUCCAGAGAUGGAUUGGUGCCCGAAAGGGAGCCUGGACACAGGUGCUGCAUGGCUGUCGCCAGCUCGUGUCGUGAGAUGUUGGGUUAAGUCCCGCAACGAGCGCAACCCUUGUCAUUAAUUGCCAUCAUUCAGUUGGGCACUUUAAUGAGACUGCCGGUGACAAACCGGAGGAAGGUGGGGAUGACGUCAAGUCCUCAUGGCCCUUAUGGGUAGGGCUUCACACGUCAUACAAUGGUCGGUACAGAGGGUUGCCAAGCCGCGAGGUGGAGCCAAUCCCAGAAAGCCGAUCGUAGUCCGGAUCGCAGUCUGCAACUCGACUGCGUGAGGUCGGAAUCGCUAGUAAUCGCGGAUCAGCAUGUCGCGGUGAAUACGUUCCCGGGUCUUGUACACACCGCCCGUCACACCAUGGGAGUGGGUUCUACCAGAAGUAGUUAGCCUAACCGUAAGGAGGGCGAUUACCAGGGUAGGAUUCAUGACUGGGGUGAAGUCGUAACAAGGUA
rnacentral:rRNA from 1 species